rfam:Paraphaeosphaeria sporulosa strain AP3s5-JAC2a unplaced genomic scaffold CC84scaffold_6, whole genome shotgun sequence.
CAGGUUGUGACGGAGUGGUUAACGUGAUUGACUCGAACCAAUCGGGCUUGGCGCGAUUUGCGAUAUCAAUUUCCUUCGGGAGCGCAGGUUCGAAUCCUGCCGACGUCG